rnacentral:tRNA from 1 species
UGUUCUGUAACUCAGUUGGUUAAAGCGUCGGUCAAGCGAAUUCGGAGUCGUGGGUUCAAAUCCCACCAGAACGC